rnacentral:lncRNA from 1 species
GGGAGGGGGGUUGGGGCAUAGAUGAAUUUUAGACAGCAGGGCUUCAAGAUUUUUGACUUCUAAGACAAAUAAUCAAAGUGAAAAUUUUAGUGAAUUAUUUAAAUGGUUAAAGGAUUCUCAUGGGAAGAAUUUCCUGUGAAAAUAAACAAGGAAAAUAUAAAUGGUUACCGUGAAGAUCAAUUUGUGUCUUUUGAGUUCAGUUUGCUGUUAAUUAUGUAGUAUGUUUGGGAUUUGAUGUUGGAGAAUUCCAGGGUGCGAGAAUGAGAUCCACACAUGAAUUGUUGGCAAAAUGCUUAAAGAAAUGGGGCAAAAGAUUAAAAAAAAAAAAAUUCCAUGCUCUCAGUGUUACCAGAUUUGGACUUUGUAUUUCUUUAUACAUUUCCUAAGAGUUUCAAGACUAUGCAGCUUGUAUUUAAAAAAAGGGCUUUCAUCACUUAAAAGUGCAUGUAUGUUUUUGCACAUUUUAGCCAUCCUAUUUAUCUCAGAACAUAAUUUCUCCCUUGGGAACAAAUAGCUCGAUGACUCCUAAACUAGUUAGAAUCAUGUGUCAAAACCUGGAUGAGUAUAACCCACUCUAUAAUGCUGUGCAUGUUGAUGUUAAGAAGCUCAUAUUGCAUGAGGUUAAAUAUUCCCUAUGAUGCAUUAAAAUGUACCAACUUAACAUUUAGAAUUCUGAUCAACUUGGUAACACCUACAGUUUUGCCAUCCCUGAAAAUAAUUUGAUAGUAGAAGUAUCAUUGAAAAUUAACGUAACGGGUAUGAGAGGUAUCUCUAAAUUAUUACAGAUUAGGCCGUUGUAGCCUUCCCAAACAUAAGCUGUCCUUGCAUUUCAGGAAAAAACAUAAGCUGCCCCUGCCUGCAAUAUUACAUUUUUCUGCAAUAUUGGAGGACAGUGCAGAUUAGUAACUCCACGUUGUGAUUAGUUAACUGCAUAGCUCUCACUUUCUUCCUUUAACAAACAGCCACGAUUUAUGUAGAUCAAAGUGCAUCUUUUAUGACUGUAAUGCUAGAAUACCUUUUUCUAAUGCCCUCUACUGUCCAAUCCCCUCUCCAAAAGAAAAUCAUAUAUAGAAAUGCUUGAGCUCUUAGUUUGCCUUCUUUCAUUUCCUUUUUUUGUUACUUUGUGGACAUGGGCAAGAAUGGGGAUAUCUCAUGUAAUAUAUUGUGUGUCAACAUUAUGAAGCCUUUCUGUAUAUUUGAUUACAUGAUUCUGCACUUUCUUGCUAAUAAGCCAGGUUAUCUUAACCUGGCGUUAAAUUAAAGGAUCUGCUUGAACCUGCCCCUCUUUUUUUUUUUUGUGUAG